GGUUUUUAGAAAUUAUUAAAAAUCAAGCCUGCUCAAUGCCUAGUAAAUAGCCGCGGUAUCCUGACCGUGCAAAGGUAGCAUAAUCAUUAGCCUUGUAAUUGAAGGCUAGAAUGAAUGGUUUAACUGAAUUGCUUUGUCUCAUAAUAAUAUCUUUAAUUUUAUAUUUUAGUAAAAAAGCUAAAAUGCUUCUUAGGGACAAGAAGACCCUAUUGAGCUUUACAAAAUUUAUUUAUUUACUCACAGAAUAAAUAAAUUUUGUUUUACUGGGGCAGUAAACAAAAUUAAUUUUAUCUAAAUAUUGUGAAGUAUAAAUCUUGCCAAAUCAAAAACUUUUUAAUAAAAAAUAAGUUACCGUAGGGAUAACAGCGUAAUUUUUCUUUAGAGAACAUAUCUACAGAAAAGUUUGCGACCUCGAUGUUGGAUUAAGAAUCCUAUUUUACGCAACAGUAAAAAAAGGAAGUCUGUUCGACUUUUAAAAUCUUCCA
rnacentral:rRNA from 1 species